rnacentral:rRNA from 1 species
GACGGAGGAGGCAAGCGUUAUCCGGAAUUAUUGGGCGUAAAGGGUACGUAGGCGGCUGGUCAAGGCUGGGGUCAAAGCACACAGCUCAACUGUGGGAAGGCCCUGGAAACUGACCGGCUAGAGUGAGGUAGGGGUUGCGGGAAUUCCCGGUGUAGCGGGGAAAUGCGUAGAGAUCGGGAAGAACACCUGAGGCGGAAGCGCGCAACUGGGCCUAAACUGACGCUGAGGUACGAAAGCUAGGGGAGCGAAUGGG